rnacentral:rRNA from 1 species
GCUUAUGCGUUGUUGGGUAGGGGAGCGUUCUGUAAGCCUGUGAAGGUGUGUCGUGAGGCAUGCUGGAGGUAUCAGAAGUGCGAAUGCUGACAUAAGUAACGAUAAAGCGGGUGAAAAGCCCGCUCGCCGGAAGACCAAGGGUUCCUGUCCAACGUUAAUCGGGGCAGGGUGAGUCGACCCCUAAGGCGAGGCCGAAAGGCGUAGUCGAUGGGAAACGGGUUAAUAUUCCCGUACUUGGUGUUACUGCGAAGGGGGGACGGAGAAGGCUAUGUUGGCCGGGCGACGGUUGUCCCGGUUUAAGCGUGUAGGUGUGUGUUCCAGGUAAAUCCGGUUCACUUUAACACUGAGGCGUGAUGACGAGGCACUACGGUGCUGAAGCAACAAAUGCCCUGCUUCCAGGAAAAGCCUCUAAGCAUCAGGUAACAUCAAAUCGUACCCCAAACCGACACAGGUGGUCAGGUAGAGAAUACCAAGGCGCUUGAGAGAACUCGGGUGAAGGAACUAGGCAAAAUGGUGCCGUAACUUCGGGAGAAGGCACGCUGACACGUAGGUGAAGUGAUUUACUCAUGGAGCUGAAGUCAGUCGAAGAUACCAGCUGGCUGCAACUGUUUAUUAAAAACACAGCACUGUGCAAACACGAAAGUGGACGUAUACGGUGUGACGCCUGCCCGGUGCCGGAAGGUUAAUUGAUGGGGUCAGCGCAAGCGAAGCUCCUGAUCGAAGCCCCGGUAAACGGCGGCCGUAACUAUAACGGUCCUAAGGUAGCGAAAUUCCUUGUCGGGUAAGUUCCGACCUGCACGAAUGGCGUAAUGAUGGCCAGGCUGUCUCCACCCGAGACUCAGUGAAAUUGAACUCGCUGUGAAGAUGCAGUGUACCCGCGGCAAGACGGAAAGACCCCGUGAACCUUUACUAUAGCUUGACACUGAACAUUGAGCCUUGAUGUGUAGGAUAGGUGGGAGGCUUUGAAGUGUGGACGCCAGUCUGCAUGGAGCCGGCCUUGAAAUACCACCCUUUAAUGUUUGAUGUUCUAACGUGGACCCGUGAUCCGGGUUGCGGACAGUGUCUGGUGGGUAGUUUGACUGGGGCGGUCUCCUCCUAAAGAGUAACGGAGGAGCACGAAGGUUGGCUAAUCCUGGUCGGACAUCAGGAGGUUAGUGCAAUGGCAUAAGCCAGCUUGACUGCGAGCGUGACGGCGCGAGCAGGUGCGAAAGCAGGUCAUAGUGAUCCGGUGGUUCUGAAUGGAAGGGCCAUCGCUCAACGGAUAAAAGGUACUCCGGGGAUAACAGGCUGAUACCGCCCAAGAGUUCAUAUCGACGGCGGUGUUUGGCACCUCGAUGUCGGCUCAUCACAUCCUGGGGCUGAAGUAGGUCCCAAGGGUAUGGCUGUUCGCCAUUUAAAGUGGUACGCGAGCUGGGUUUAGAACGUCGUGAGACAGUUCGGUCCCUAUCUGCCGUGGGCGCUGGAGAACUGAGGGGGGCUGCUCCUAGUACGAGAGGACCGGAGUGGACGCAUCACUGGUGUUCGGGUUGUCAUGCCAAUGGCACUGCCCGGUAGCUAAAUGCGGAAGAGAUAAGUGCUGAAAGCAUCUAAGCACGAAACUUGCCCCGA